rfam:Papillibacter cinnamivorans DSM 12816 genome assembly, contig: EJ70DRAFT_scaffold00003.3
CGGGUGGCAUCCCUAGGGAGCUACACCGAUAGAUUUGAAAUUUCCCGGCGAAUUGCUUAUAUCCGAGAACUCGGAAUAAGACAAGAGG